rnacentral:rRNA from 1 species
GAUGAACGCUGGCGGCGUGCCUAAUACAUGCAAGUAGAACGCUGAAGGAGGAGCUUGCUCUUCUGGAUGAGUUGCGAACGGGUGAGUAACGCGUAGGUAACCUGCCUGGUAGCGGGGGAUAACUAUUGGAAACGAUAGCUAAUACCGCAUGACAACAGUUAUUGCAUGAUAACUGUUUAAAAGGGGCAACUGCUCCACUACCAGAUGGACCUGCGUUGUAUUAGCUAGUUGGUGAGGUAACGGCUCACCAAGGCGACGAUACAUAGCCGACCUGAGAGGGGGAUCGGCCACACUGGGACUGAGACACGGCCCAGACUCCUACGGGAGGCAGCAGUAGGGAAUCUUCGGCAAUGGACGGAAGUCUGACCGAGCAACGCCGCGUGAGUGAAGAAGGGUGUCGGAUCGUAAAGCUCUGUUGUAAGAGAAGAACGAGUGUGAGAGUGGAAAGUUCACACUGUGACGGUAGCUGAACAGAAAGGGACGGCUAACUACGUG